UCGUUGUUAGGAAAGCGCCCUCCGAAUUUAAUGAGAGUAAAUUCAUCAGCUGGGCGAUCUACAACGAGACGCUACUGUCGCUAUUCCUCAACAUCUCAAUGUUGUUUUUGCAAUCUCCGGCCAAUCCAGACCUUCUCUACAUGAUAUUAUUUGUACACAGUCAGCUGACGACCACAGUUGUGUUAUGCCUUCUCUUUGGUAGUAAGCUUUACAUGGUCUAUAAAGGCAUGGCGACUCCGGAUCACUCCUAUCAGACGGUGACCCACGGAAAGGGGGCUAAAUUCUUGUACAGCGGCGGUCGAUCUCCAAUUCCCCCACGCCAUUGUACGGGACUAUCGAGC